rnacentral:misc_RNA from 1 species
CAACCCUCAAGCUCCGCUUGGUGUUGGGGCCCUACAGCUGAUGUAGGCCCUCAAAGGUAGUGGCGGACCCUCCCGGAGCCUCCUUUGCGUAGUAACAUUUCGUCUCGCACUGGGAUCCGGAGGGACUCUUGCCGUAAAACCCCCUAAUUUUCCAAA